rnacentral:rRNA from 1 species
AUUGAACGCUGGCGGCAGGCUUAACACAUGCAAGUCGAACGAGUGGCGGACGGGUGAGUAAUGCUUGGGAAUCUAGCUGAUGGAGGGGGAUAACUACGGGAAACUGUAGCUAAUACCGCGUACCAUAGGAUGAGCCCAAGUGGGAUUAGGUAGUGGGUGAGGUAAAGGCUCACCAAGCCGACGAUCUCUAGCUGGUCUGAGAGGAUGACCAGCCACACUGGGACUGAGACACGGCGCAGACUCCUACGGGAGGCAGCAGUGGGGAAUAUUGCACAAUGGGGGCAACCUGAUGCAGCCAUGCCGCGUUAAUGAAGAAGGCCUUCGGGUUGUAAAGUGCUUUCGGUAGCGAGGCGUUAACUACAGAAGAAGCACCGGCUAACUCCGUGCCAGCAGCCGCGGUAAUUC